rnacentral:rRNA from 1 species
GAUGAACGCUAGCGGGAGGCCUAACACAUGCAAGCCGAGCGGUAUUUGUCCUUCGGGACAGAGAGAGCGGCGUACGGGUGCGGAACACGUGUGCAACCUGCCUUUAUCUGGGGGAUAGCCUUUCGAAAGGAAGAUUAAUACCCCAUAAUAUAUCGAAUGGCAUCAUUCGAUAUUGAAAACUCCGGUGGAUAGAGAUGGGAACGCGCAAGAUUAGAUAGUUGGUGAGGUAACGGCUCACCAAGUCAGUGAUCUUUAGGGGGCCUGAGAGGGUGAUCCCCCACACUGGUACUGAGACACGGACCAGACUCCUACGGGAGGCAGCAGUGAGGAAUAUUGGACAAUGGGUGAGAGCCUGAUCCAGCCAUCCCGCGUGAAGGACUAAGGCCCUAUGGGUUGUAAACUUCUUUUAUACUGGGAUAAACCUACUUACGUGUAAGUAGCUGAAGGUACAGUAUGAAUAAGCACCGGCUAACUCCGUG